GACGAACCGUGCGAACGUUAUUCGGAAUCACUGGGCUUAAAGCGCGUGUAGGCGGGCCGCCGCGUCGGCUGCUGAAAUCCCCCGGCUCAACUGGGGGGUGUCGUGCGAUACGGUCGGACUGGAGGCCAGUAGGGGGAUGCGGAAUUCCGGGUGUAGUGGUGGAAUGCGUAGAGAUCCGGAGGAACACCAGCGGCGAAGGCGGCAUCCUGGACUGGUCCUGACACUCAGGAGCGAAAGCGUGGGGAGCGAUCCGG
rnacentral:rRNA from 1 species